AAUAUUGGACAAUGGGCGAAAGACUGAUCCAGACAUGCCGCGGUUGUGAAGAAGUUCUUCGGAUUGUAAAGCCCUUUAAGCUGGGAGGAAGGGCAGUCAGUUAAUACCUUGAUGUUUUGACGUUGCCGUCAGAAUAAGCCCUGGCUAACUUAGUUCCAGCAGCCGCGGUAAUACGCAGGGUGCAAGUGUUAAUAGGAAUUAUUGGGCGUAAAGCGAGCGUAGGUGGUUUGUUAAGUUGGAAGGGAGAGCCCCGGGCUCAACCUGGGAACUGCUUUAAAAACUGGCAAGCUAGAGUAUGGCAGAGGGUGGUGGAAUUUCCUGUGUAGCGGUGAAAUGCGUUAAUAUAGGAAGGAACACCAGUGGCGAAGGCGACCUCCUGGGCUAAUACUGACCCUGAGGUGCGAAAGCGUGGGGGGCAAA
rnacentral:rRNA from 1 species